CAUCCCAGCCCCGCCCCUCGGCCCCGGUUCCGGCCCCGCCCCGCGGCGAUGGCGCUGGAGACUGUGCCCAAGGAUCUGCGCCACCUCCGCGCCUGUCUGCUCUGUUCGCUUGUCAAGACCAUUGACCAGUUUGAGUAUGAUGGCUGUGACAACUGCGAUGCCUACCUGCAGAUGAAGGGCAACCGGGAGAUGGUCUAUGACUGCACCAGCUCCUCCUUCGACGGGAUCAUCGCCAUGAUGAGCCCCGAGGACAGCUGGGUCUCCAAGUGGCAGCGCAUCAGUAACUUCAAGCCGGGUGUCUAUGCAGUGUCUGUGACUGGCCGCCUGCCCCAAGGCUCCCUGUUUCUGCCCUGACCUCCACCAACUGCAUUGGAAAAGAACUAGAACAUCACAAGGCUUGAAGCUGAGGUCUGCUGGCACAGCUUUGGGGAUUGUCCGAGAGCUGAAGAGCCGUGGUGUGGCUUACAAGUCCCGAGACACAGCUAUCAAAACCUAAGGGCUCUUGUGGUGCCUGGAGGAUCCCCCAGCGUAGCAUUUGGAGGUGGUGGGCGCACAGGGCACUGCUCUGAAACUUUUUAGUUUUAGCAUGUGUGAAAGCCAGCCUGGACUCCAGGAGUUUACUGGCUCCCCUCCUCUCGCUCCAUAUCUCUGGACUCUGCCGUGCCUCUGCCCACAAAGUCUGUCAGAGCUUUUUUUGAGCCUUGACAAGCGAGAGAGUGUGGGUGGGUCUGGGAAAUGGUGUUUAAUGGUGAUGCACAAAGCUUUUUUACAGUUUGCGUGGAAAAACAGAGAGCUGGGAUUUGGCUGUGUAAAUACUGCAAUAAAACACACUGCUUGGUCA